rnacentral:rRNA from 1 species
GCUGGCGGCACGCCUAACACAUGCAAGUCGAACGAAGUAGCAAUACUUAGUGGCAGACGGGUGAGUAACAUGUAGGUAUCUGCCCUUUGGCCUGGAAUAACACGAGGAAACUUGUGCUAAUACCGGAUAAGUCUUUACGGAGAAAGCUUUAUGCACCAUUGGAUGAGCCUGCACUUGAUUAGUUUGUUGGUGGGGUAAUGGCCUACCAAGACUGUGAUCAAUAGCUGAUUUGAGAGGAUGAUCAGCCACAUUGGGACUGAGACACGGCCCAAACUCCUACGGGAGGCAGCAGUGGGGAAUCUUGCACAAUGGAGGAAACUCUGAUGCAGCGAUGCCGCGUGAGUGAAGAAGGCCUUUGGGUUGUAAAGCUCUUUCGUCGGGGAAGAAAAUGACUGUACCCGAAUAAGAAGGUCCGGCUAACUUCGUGCCAGCAGCCGCGGUAAUACGAAGGGACCUAGCGUAGUUCGGAAUUACUGGGCUUAAAGAGUUCGUAGGUGGUUGAAAAAGUUGGUGGUGAAAUCCCAGAGCUUAACUCUGGAACUGCCAUCAAAACUUUUCAGCUAGAGUAUGAUAGAGGAAAGCAGAAUUUCUAGUGUAGAGGUGAAAUUCGUAGAUAUUAGAAAGAAUACCAAUUGCGAAGGCAGCUUUCUGGAUCAUUACUGACACUGAGGAACGAAAGCAUGGGUAGCGAAGAGGAUUAGAUACCCUCGUAGUCCAUGCCGUAAACGAUGUGUGUUAGACGUUGGAAAUUUAUUUUCAGUGUCGCAGCGAAAGCGAUAAACACACCGCCUGGGGAGUAC